CUUAUACUCCCUCCGUUCUAAAAUUCUUGUCUUAGGUUUGUGUAUAAAUGGAUGUAUCUAAAUACUAAAACAUGACUACAUACAUUCAUAUCUAGACAAAUCUAAGAUAAGAAUUUUGAGACGGAGAAAGUAGUUA
rfam:Hordeum vulgare subsp. vulgare, WGS project CAJW01000000 data, contig: morex_contig_1574704